GUGCUACACAACAUAGAACAUGACCAACGCAAAAGUAGCUGGAGUGUUAUGCUUCCUAGUCCUUGUGGCUCUCUCUUCUUGUUCGCUCCAUGCACGAGAGGCCAACCAGGUUAUCGUGUUUCGGAAAUAACGCUACCACCUCCAGCCGCGGCGUGUACCUAGGCCUUAAGUGUAAGACCAUUUUUAUAAUGGAGAAAUAAUUAAAUGAAGCAAAGAAUGUUGUCAGAUGAAUGGCAUUUGCUGUGUAUUUGACCUUUUUGUGUGUAUUAAAAAAAUUGGGCAUAGCCUCGUCACU